CCUACGGGUGGCAGCAGUAGGGAAUCUUCCACAAUGGACGAAAGUCUGAUGGAGCAACGCCGCGUGAGUGAAGAAGGUUUUCUGCUCGUAACGCUCUGUUGGUAGUGAAGACAGAUAGAGUUAGUAACUGGCCUUUAUUUGACUGUACUUACUUAGACAGUCACGGCUAACUACGUGCCAGCAGCCGCGGUAAUACGGAGGAUGCGAGCGUUAUCCGGAUUUAUUGGGUUUAAAGGGUGCGCAGGCGGAUUUUUAAGUCAGCGGUCAAAUCGUGGGGCUCAACCCCAUCCAGCCGUUGAAACUGGGGAUCUAGAGGGUGCGAGAGGUAUGCGGAAUGCGUGGUGUAGCGGUGAAAUGCAUAGAGAUCACGCAGAACCCCGAUUGCGAAGGCAGCAGACCGGGGCACAACUGACGCUCAGGCACGAAAGCGUGGGUAUCGAACAGGAUUAGAUACCCCUGUAGUC
rnacentral:rRNA from 1 species